CAAAAUUUCACUACUAUCAAUGAGUGAAGGCACUUCCCAUACUGAUAAGUGGAAUCCCUGUGAAACAUGUCCUCUUGCUUGCGUCAUUUUGUGUGGCCUUUGCCAACAAACUCCAGGUAAAAGGUGUGCUGUGCCAACUUUAUCUCCUGAUUCUGUAGGAUACGCUCUGAAGGGUGUUCUCUGGACUUGACAUUUACUAGGACCUUUUUGUGAAAUCAGAGGCAACCUGAAGUGAAAACAACAUUUAGUUGGAGAGUUAGAGAAAAAAUAGAAGCAAUCUUAUUUCUUACAUGUGUGCUUGGAAGUGGAAAACAUCUGUUUUGUUUGCCGCUAGUUUUUGAUGCCACAUCAGUAUAACUGUAGGAGGUGAGGUCCUCUUCCCACCAGGACAUCUCAGUACGUUCACGCAGUGCUCAGGAAGUUCAGAGACUUCCCUAGGAGUCUCAAAUGGAAGCAGCCUGGGAAUUCUAGUUAAAAAUCUAAAAAUUGGAAAGAAUAACUAGGUAAAUAAAUAAAUGUGUAAAAAUUAGAAUCCGAAUACAUAGUUAUAAUUGGAGUCAUUAGACAUUUCAAAAAUAGCUUAAGAGUCUUCCUUCAGCCUGGCCAGGUGGCUCAUUGGUUGGAGCAUCAUCCCUGUAUGUCGAGGUUGCAGAUUUGAUCCCCUGUCAGCACACAUAUAAGAGACACCCAAAGAAUGCAUGGAUAAGUGGAACAACAGGCCGCCUCGGAAGAGCUGAAAGCUGCCUACCGCAGGCUGUGCAUGCUGUACCACCCCGACAAGCACAGAGACCCCGAGCUCAAGUCGCAGGCCGAGCGGCUGUUUAACCUCGUCCACCAGGCUUAUGAAGUGCUUAGCGACCCGCAGACCCGGGCCAUCUAUGACAUCUAUGGGAAGAGAGGCCUGGAGAUGGAAGGAUGGGAGGUUGUGGAAAGGAGGAGAACGCCCGCCGAAAUCAGAGAAGAAUUUGAGCGACUGCAGAGAGAGCGGGAAGAGAGGAGGCUGCAGCAGCGAACCAACCCCAAGGGGACCAUCAGCGUCGGCAUCGAUGCCACUGACCUCUUCGAUCGCUAUGAGGAGGAGUACGAAGAUGUGUCCGGCAGUGGCUUUCCGCAGAUUGAAAUUAACAAGAUGCACAUAUCCCAGUCCAUCGAGGCACCCUUGACAGCGACGGACACAGCCAUCCUCUCUGGAAGCCUCUCGACCCAGAAUGGGAAUGGAGGGGGUUCCAUUAACUUCGCGCUCAGACGGGUCACCUCUGCGAAGGGAUGGGGAGAGUUAGAAUUUGGAGCUGGGGAUCUGCAGGGGCCUCUCUUUGGUCUAAAGCUGUUCCGUAACCUCACGCCCAGAUGCUUUGUGACGACCAACUGUGCGCUGCAGUUUUCGUCCCGGGGGAUCCGGCCUGGCCUCACCACUGUCCUGGCUCGGAACCUGGACAAAAACACCGUGGGCUACCUGCAGUGGCGGUGGGGCAUCCAGUCGGCCAUGAACACAAGCAUCGUCCGGGACACCAAAACCAGCCACUUGACCGUGGCCCUGCAGCUCGGAAUCCCUCACUCCUUUGCCCUGAUUAGCUAUCAGCACAAAUUCCAGGAUGAUGAUCAGACUCGCGUGAAAGGCUCCCUGAAGGCAGGCUUCUUCGGGACGGUGGUGGAGUACGGGGCGGAGAGGAAGAUCUCCAGGCACAGCGUGCUGGGGGCCGCUGUCAGCAUCGGCGUCCCGCAGGGCGUUUCUCUCAAAGUCAAGUUGAACAGGGCCAGUCAGACUUACUUCUUCCCUAUUCAUUUGACGGAUCAGCUUCUUCCCAGCGCCGUGUUCUACGCCACCGUGGGGCCCCUCGUGGUCUACUUCGCUAUGCACCGUCUCAUCAUCAAGCCAUACCUCAGGGCUCAGAAGGAGAGGGAAUUGGAAAAGCAAAGGGAAAACACAGCUACCGACAUCCUGCAGAAGAAGCAAGAGGCAGAAGCUGCGGUUCGGUUGAUGCAGGAAUCUGUCCGAAGAAUAAUCGAGGCAGAAGAAUCCAGAAUGGGCCUCAUCAUCGUCAACGCCUGGUACGGGAAGUUCGUCAACGACAAGAGCAGGAAGAGUGAGAAGGUGAAGGUGAUCGACGUGACGGUGCCCCUGCAGUGCCUGGUCAAGGACUCGAAGCUCAUCCUCACAGAGGCCUCCAAGUGGCCAAGUGUGCGCCUUCCAAGGGAAGAAGGCGCCGCCUGCAGCGGGGGAGCAGGUGGGCAUGUGCAUUUAGACACCUGUCUCGGGCGCCCCUCGAAUCAGGGUCUCUGUUCCAGGCUGGGCUGCCCGGGUUCUACGACCCGUGUGUGGGCGAGGAGAAGAGCCUGAAAGUGCUCUACCAGUUCCGGGGCGUCCUGCACCAGGUGAUGGCGCUGGACAGCGAGGCACUCAGAAUACCCAAGCAGUCUCACAGGAUCGAUACAGAUGGAUAAACUGCUUGAGAAAAAGAAUUACAGGAGGCUGCGAAGAUCUUUUCCUGGGCGUCUACAAAUUUGGAAGCAGGGAAACCCAGACGUCACAAGUUUAUUUUAUAUUAUUCCUAAGGAGGUGGUACCCUAUCAAUUAUGUGAAGGGACACAGACACCCGGUUUUGUGGGUGCUGCAGGCAGACUGAGGCAGCCCUGCCAGGACCAGAACCUCAGCACAGCCGUGUCUGUUUCCCAAGGAUCAUGUGCCCGAGGGAAGGGCCCUGGGCCCCGGGCGCCACCCCAUCGUUCUUGGUCUGUGAGGAGGCGCCGUGGAACAUCUGCCCUCGCACAGGACCGGGACUGCCUUUCCUGCCACCACCCUGACCUGGAAAGGAAGGAAAGACCAGUCUGCAGCCAAGCGAGCAUCUGGGUGGUGGACUUGCGGAAACCGCCUUUUCCUGCUGAAUAUGGAGGAGCGUGGGUUUAUAAAUCUGCUUUUUAUCUGAGAA